ensembl:lncRNA
AUCUACCCCCUCAAUCCUAUUCUUCCACCUAUCUCCCAAGCUACACACACAACAUCUGCAAUUUCUAGAGAACCACACCCACCUACCUCCACCUCCAAACUCCAGCCAAGUACUCCAUUUGGGGUUUGAUCCAAGCACCUCCUGCUCCACAGCCAUGAUGACUUAGCCAACUGAGCCACAGAGGCCUACACACCACUCCCUCCGUCACACCUUCAUAGCACCACUUUUGAUUCUUGAACCUGCCAAAAGGUGCCUUAGAACCUGAAAAAACACACCACAAACAUGAACUCUAACCACUACACCACCAAGCAACAGAAGCUACACACGUGUGUUGGACUUUUGUCAUCACAAAUCACGUCAUGAGGCUGCAGGAUUUUUUUUUUUGUCUUAAACCAGCCAAAAGGUGGAAGAGAACCCACACCUUCUGGAACACCAUCAUUGGCAUGAACUGUAACCACUACACCACCAAGAGACAGAAACUACACCCGUGUGGUGGGCUUUUGUCAUCAUAAAUCACCACACCACAGAAGGAACAGGUGCAUAAUGCUAAUGAGAAGAAACCUGGACCUGACACUGAUACGAGGAAUGUUAGAUGAGCGUGAGUGUCAGUGUUGUGGUUACUGAACCUUCUGGUUCUAAUCUGUGUUUUGGCAGGUUUAAGAAUAAAAAGUGGCGCUGUAGCAGUAUGAAGACGGCGGUGUGUACACACUGUGUAUAAAAACCUCUCACCCACACUGGUCACUCACCCUCCCCCGCCUUCCUCAUUCUCCUCAUUCUCUCAGACAGGUCUCUUUAAAAAGACUCCUGCUUAAGGAGUCCAUGGUAGCUUCCCUGGUCCCAGAUGUCUUUGGUUUUAUGCUAAUGAGGUAGACCCUGAUUGGAGGCCAGGCCUAAUUAUUUGUUCCUUGUUAUCCUGUGAUUUUAUUCUCACUACUUAGUAAUUUAAAUAGCACACGGAGAUCAUUAUUCCGUAAAUGAAAUCACGAAGACACAGAGGGAAAAACAAAUAAAACGAUAUUCGAAUAUAAAAUCUUUUGAAAAAUAUGGAGAAUUGUGGAGGCCGUGUGGUCAUGUGGUUCCUUCUUAUCAUUAUUUAGAUCUGAAUUUGUUCUCUCAGUUCAGUCAUUUUUAUUGCGUAUUCACCUACAGCCCUGAAGCUCCAGAACCUCACAGCUGAGAACUGGAUGUAGUAGAGAACCUAACGGAACCUUUCUUCUGAUACAAUCCGUGUUUUCCUAAAAUACAUUCCAGUGCUGCAGGGAUUAACUGAGUUAAUAAUCACAAUUAAUCACAAUAAAGCAGCAAACUGCAAUAAUCAAAGACAGAUCCUGUUAAUAAUAAUAAUAAUAGUAGUACAUCUUUGUGUAUCACUUAAUCAGAUAAUACAUGUUCAAAAUAGUGAUUAAUUGAUCAUCCUUAAUGAAUUAUAUGGAAAUCUAUGAGAAUUAACACAAGAUUAAAAAGUAUAUUAAAGUACAAAGCUAGAUACAUUGUGUAAUACUCUAACCAGACCAGCAGGAGGCGACACAGCACCUUUACACAAACAAACAGUGAUGUACAUCAGUGUAAUAUGUAUGUGAGUGAGAGUGUGUGUGUUAACCUCACCAUCUGAAGUGUUGAAAAAUCACUCAGAAUGCCUGUCAGAAAUGUUAAAGUAUGAGCAUCAGCUCUGCACAGCUGUACUGUCACCUGAUUGCAGCUCAGGUGAAGCAAUAACCGCAAGCUUUCAUUGGCCAAGGCAGAUCACUCACUGUUAACCUGGCUCACUCACACUGACGCCGUGUAUUUGCUCUUGAAAACAAAGCACAGAUGAACUCACCACUGAGCAAGGUGCACACUCUCAGUAAUCAGCACUCUCCCAGCUGUGUCGUGUGAGCCCAUCGCUCAGACGUCUCCACACACGCGUACUAUAUUUACAAUCAUGUCCGGUCACCUGCGGGAUUAGAACACAAGCAGCCACUUCCGUCCGAUGUCAAUGGCUGUAGCGGACAAAUCGGGCUCGUUGACUUCCUUUCCAUGUUGAACUUGUUAUUGCUGAGGUGAACUGUUCCUCAAUUCCUAAUUCAGUGUACAGAUGAAAAAGGUGCAGUGGAAAGUCUGUGUUCCAGGACCCCUGGACUGAUCCUGAGCUCAAGACUGAUUACAUAAUGAGAAUCUUUAUUUUAGCAGAGUAACAGUAUUAGUAUUAUACUCAUUCUACUGAACAGACAUAUUUCCACUACAAGUGGGCUUUGAUUAUAAACGGUUAGAAAACUGGCAAUAAAACAUUGAAAACAUUAGGCUUAAUGGUCGUGUGUAAUGUUUCUGUAGAAGACAAGCAGUAGAAAUAAGGGAAGACCGCUGUGCAGGGAGAAACAGGGACCUUCGGAUAAUAUAAACAAACAAACGUCCUACAACACUCAAAGUGCGCACUCAUCUUUCAGAGGCAGAUUCCAGCAGAUGGCGUCACAGGUUUGAACAGGAAAGAGGAAAUUAAUAUAUAUUAAUAUAUAUCUAUAUAUAUAUAUUUUUCUAAAUCAGAUUUGUGCAAUAUUCUUAGAUGUCGGCACCACAAUGGCCUCUACGGGAGCAGGGUCGGAGAAGGUUACUCUCAGCUCUUUGCAGACAAUAUUUAGUUCUAAUUGUCUACUGCUGACGGAUCUGAUAUUCAUAGCCUGUUCCCAACAUGGUGUAUCAUGAGGACAGUCGUGGCCGUGGAAAAAAGCCUUAUGGAAGUCGUCGAGACGCAACUCUCUGUUCGGUUUUAUUGUCUGGUGAAGUCUGAUGCCUUCGUGGUCCUGAAACACGACGCAAUGCAGACUGGGGUUACCCGCUGUGAUGCUGAUCAGAAUCUGACUGCCUUCGACCAGAAGUCCUGCGCUUUUCUUCAGCAUGAGCGGCAACGUGUCCAUCGCUGAAAUAGCAAACAGCAGAUUGCGUUUGAGUUCAGGUUCAAGAACACCCAGCUGGCUCAGUUCCACUUUCGUCUCUAGGAGAUAUUUAGUUUCCAGGGAGGGGAAAAAGAACUCCUUUCUGUAGUGAAUACAGAAAUAAUGACACCCGCGUUAGAUUUGUUUCCUGUGUGCUUUUUACAGCGCCCUCCGAUAAUAUUGGCACCCUUGGUAAAUAUGAGCAUCUUUUGUUUAAAAAGGUUCACAAGAAUAAAUACGCUGCUCUCAUAGAGAUCAAACAACUGCAAACAUUUUGAAACUUUCUUAAAUAUAGGUGUGCAACAAUUAUUUCAAUUAUUCAAGUUGUCAAUACUAUGUGCUGCCUCCCUCUGCCAAGAUAACAGCGCCGAGUCUUCUCCUAUGACGCCUGAUGAGAUCGGAGAAUACGCGGCGAGGGAUCUGAGAGCGUUCCUCCGUACAGAACCUCUCCAGACCCUUCACACUGCGAGGUAUUUACCGAGGGUGGCAAUAUUAACGGAGGGCACUCUAUAUAUAUUCAUCUCUUAAACAAAACACAGGUCUCGGCUGAAAACAUUUGCAAGUGUGGACACCGAUUAACGUUCGACAUUCCAGACGUUCCAGAAAAAUAACAGGAAUAAGAAUAGAAAACAUGCUGACAAGAUGUGCCGUUAGAGGAAAAUGAUCAAUGACGGGGAGGCGUGAUGCGUGAACGCUAAUCAGACUUCCUGUAAACGCCGUGAAGCCGAUUAGUUUCCUAUAAUAUCACAUCCAGAGUGUGUGUAUAUAACAUUUUCUAACGAAUCACAUCGUACCUUUGAUAUAUUUACAGUUACAUUUACAUGCCGAAUCUGCAUUUGCAGCUGCGCUACCGUCAGAGCUGCUGUUACAGGAAAUGAGUCAACGCCUUCUGACCAAUCCACAAAACACAAAAGCGCUGUAUAACUACGCAGUAAAACGUGUCGUUUCAACAGAAACCUGACGCGGGAGACAACUUUAUAUUACGCACAGAGGGACUGGUGUUGUGAAGUUUUGCCAUCCAGCGACAGAAAUAAUCUCAUGUAGAAACAAACACAACAGAGGGUUCGGUGUCUAGGAUCUAGAAUUUUGCGGCAAAACGUUAAGCGUAUCACUCGAUGCUCCACUUUUACAAAAGAAUUCAUUAAAACAGCGAUGCGUGUGUUGAGCACGUUACGCGUCCUCAUUUUUGUGUUUGAUGAAGCAUGAAGUAAGCUGUCAGAAACAUCCUGGGACAAGGCCACAGCCGGAGUGAUCGUGUAACCUGGGGACAGUGGAACGAUGCAGAUUUGAACAACAGUGACAUGUUUUUGCAGCUGUAAAAGUGAGACUGAUGCUUUAGAAGAAGUUGAGGAUGGAUGCACUUACUUGUCAGAACGAGCUGAAGGCGUGAGAUGAGCAGAAAACUCAACCCUGACCAGUCUUCUCCUGGUGAGAUUCGUUUUCUGGCCACAGCGUUUGGCCCCGCCUCCCGGAAGAGCUACACGCGACAAGGGGCGGGGCUACCGACAACCGCGUCAGGCGAAGGGGCGGGCUUCCGCGCCGUCCGUGUUACAGAUCUAGAACAUGACUUCUUGUGCGACUUCCCAAAGGGAAAAUAAAAUUCUGCGACAAUGGU